GUCUUUUGUUUGUGUGUGUCUGGUAAUAUCAAAUAACUUGGUUAGAAAAUUGUUUAGAAUGAUAGCAAAUUACAGAGUUAUCUCCCCUUUUUUGUUAAUUUCUAGUGCAUUUCAACCAAAUUGUAUCUUCUAUUACCAGAACAGAAAAUGGAAAUGAAUGUUAUUUUUGUGCAUAACUACAUAUUAUGAACUGAAAUCAAUGUCAAAUAGGGUGGGGUUUUUUUAUCAUGUUUUCACCACUGCCUGAUUCUUAGGCAGACUGGCACUU
rnacentral:lncRNA from 1 species